ensembl:lncRNA
CGUAAUUAAAGAACACUAUGCACUUUAUUACCAAUGUGCUUUCUAGGGUACUACAUGCUCACCUUAAAAUAGACCAAGGUGUUAUCAUCGUGUGGGUUUUUUGUGUUGCUUGUCUAACUCUUAUCCUUUUACCUUUACACAGAUCGUUUCAAACAGCUUCAAGUUCUUCAGGAGGUGACUACCACAUUUUCAGGUUUAAUAGGGCAAUCUUUUCAAACACCACUGGACAAGCAACUGCCUCCUGAUGCCCAAGAAAGAAAGAGAAAGAUGGCCAUCCUGUUCAGACGAGCAUCAAAGAAAUCCCUUGGCCAUGCCCAAAGCCAGAAACAUCACAUGUCAAGUGGACUGGCUGAAAAUUCCCCUCCUUGCUCUGAACCUGAACCUCUGCAGGACUCGGGUAUCACGAGGCACACGGAAAUGUCCUUAAUGAGAGUCAAACCUUUGUGUUUAGAGAAUGGGUGUCUGGGUUCUGUGACAGCCAAUCAAGAAGGCGAUUCAGACUUUGAUACACAGGAGAAUUUAUCAGCAAAAGAGAUAGCAAUUAAACAUCCAUCUCUGGAAGAAGGUUUCCCAAAAACAGGAAACAAGAGCAGCCCUGGGCAAAUCUGGACACCAAAAGGAAUGACUGAGACUCUGUCAGACUCACCAGGAUGGACCUUUGCAACCAAAACUGAUGUGAAGCCUGGAUCCUCAACCCCCACCAUCCGUUCUUUGGCAACCAAUCAACCUGAUGUUGGUCAACAUAUCCCUCUCUCUCCUCACCCUUCCAUAGGCAUGGACCCUUCCCCAUCACCUCCCGUAAUGAUACAUCCAGAAGCCGCCUUUAUAAUUUUGAACAAUAAAACACAGCCCAGUCAAAAGCCGUCCCCCAUGUCUUUGCCAUCGGUAUUGAUGAGCAAAGAUCUUUCUUCCUUCUUCUCACCAAAACUACAGAAGACAACUCAUUCACAGAUUCUACCUGAUAUGGGGUUUGCCACCCUGAACUCAUUUUCUAUCAGCAAACAGAUCACUUCUUUCAUGAUAGAAGAGUCCAAAGCUCUGGACUCAAAUCUUCCAUCUAAAAGCUUUUGUAACGAUACUCAAUACUUGUCCCUCUCUGGUCCCUCUGCCUCUGAACCCCUUCCACCUCAGCCAUCAGCUGAAUACAGUCAACUUUCCUCUUCUGACACCGUGACACUGCAUCAAUCUGACUUCUUGGUGGGUCAGUGCCUCAUAAAGGGAGCUGAGAUACCUGCAUGCAAAAACACAAACCCUGGUUUAGUACUACAUCCAGCUCCCUCUGCCUCUCUGGGUUUACACCCCCCAUCUUCCUCAAUAACCUACAGCAGUUCACGCAGCAGUGAAACAAACGGUGAAGAUGCAACUUUUUCAGGUUCUGAGAAAGUUCCUGUAACAGAUGCUGAUCAUGAAUCAACUUUAUCUGAGUACUCUGAUAAUGAAGAUAGACUUCCUGCAAUCCUGCUUUCUCUUGAAGUCCCUUGUCAACUUGCUUUGUCAUGCAACUCACACAAUCAACAGGACACUCUGAUAGGUUCAGUUGAUGCAAGACUUUCAAAAAUAGCUAAACCAUCCCAACAACAAGAAGCAAAACCUCCUCAAAAUGACAUAACAAGCUUAGCUCCAGCCCCACAUAUCCAGAACUGUACUUUUUUGGACGUGGACAACAUUCUGCAAUGGAACAUGAACCAAGCGAUGGUAAAUGGGGACUCAGUUUACAUGUCAGACAUGGACAGCUCUGGAUACACAUCAAAAGAAGCUUUUGUCCAAACAGAAACUGACCAGAGGUCUACUAUUCACACCGUCAGUGAUGAUCAUUCAUCAUUAACCAAGCUGGAGCAACGCCAAGAGCUCCGUCAAUCAGGAGCUAUGAGCAAACAAAACAAGUUCAUCCGAUAUUUUGAUGCAUGUGAGCAGCAGGUAGGCCAUAAAACUGAGGUCCAACCCCACGGGCUCAUGGCUCAAUGCCUUGGUGGGGUGCAGGAAACUUCAGUGGACGUUUCAGAUGGUGAAAAUGAGGAUGCAGACUUUUUCCAACAACUUAAUGCUGAGAGCAAAGUCUAUUGGGCCGAACCCGCCCAGAUAACCAUUUCAGCAGAAGAGUUCAACACUUUUCAAGACUCUGAUGCCUUAGUUUCGUCUGAAGACACAGUUUCUCUUUCAAUACUGUCAUCCUCAACUGUAUCUGGACAUGAUGAAACAUCAGGACAGGGAGGUAUGCACUCAGAUCCAUAUUUGUCCAUGCCUAAAUCGCGCUCCUCCCUUUGUGCUGCCACAGAGAAGUCCUCCAAUCCCUCUGUUUCUGGUCAAACAGCCCCCUCUCUAUCAUCUCACAUUGUUCACAGGAAAGAUGUUCCUCUGUUGACUGAGUCAAAACACACCCAUUUUCCGAGUACUCUGACUCUUGACACCUCCACUCCUUUACGUGCUCUUCAGUCGUGGAAAAACCUACAAAGUCAGCGCAAUGCUCUCACCUGUAAACUACCCCAGAGGGAUCUCUAUGCGCUGUCAAGUGAUGAGAGCCAGACACCCACCAGAGGAUCACACAGACCCUCACCGGUUUUCUCUUCAACCACCUCUUUUCCAUUGCUCUGUACUGAUUUGACAUUACACAAUUCCACACCUGUCAUAUUAAGAAAUGAUGGGGCCACCGAAGAUAAAAACUCAAAAACUGCGGACUGGAUAAAGACUCCAGGGCCUGGAGCAGAUGAUGAUAAACAACAGGAGGAGCACAGGAAUGAAACCAAAAGUCAAGACAAACUGGAUAAGAAGGCCAACCUGCAGUGCUGCUGUUCCUGUCACCGACCUCAGAACUGCUGCAGCAGGCAAUACUUCCAUCCACAGCACGUUUCUGUGAGUAAUGCAGCACUCCAUUCACACUUUUUUAUCACCUGGAAGCAGACAAACUCAUUAUCUGCAUUUUCAUGCACAAAUUGGAU